ensembl:lncRNA
GAGAAGAAAAGAAAAGGGGUGGGGUGCAUGAAAAUUAGAACAGCAGGUAUUGGUGAAGGGGGCAUAUAUAGCCUGAGGCAGGAAGGGGCGUGAAUGAGGUCUGGUCCUGCAUGUCAAGAAUGUUUGAAAAGAUCUUUACAACUGGAAACAUCUUCCACAGCAAAACCAUCAUGAUUAUUCUACUUGUAGCUAUACAUUUGAUGAAUUCACUUCUGGUUUCAGGUUCCUCUUUAAGUGAUCAAGUCGACCAGACUCCAGCAGACAUUUACACAAAAGGAGAGGAUGUUGAAAUCCACUGUUCACACAGUAUUUCAAGCUAUGAAACAAUCCUCUGGUACAAGCAGACAGAGAAAAAGCUACAACUGCUUGGAUACAUGUUGAAUGACAGGGGUUAUCCAGAAACUGGAGUGAAUGUGAUGAUGGACGGGGAUGCAAGACAGCACAAGAACUGCAUAUUAACGAUUAAGGAUAUCAAAGUGAGCAGCAGUGGAGUGUACUUCUGUGCCGCUAGAUACCACAGUGCUGCACAUCACUGCACCACAAUACAAAAACCUCCCAAACACAUUUUAAAAAUUUGGCAGCUUGCAGCCACUUACACCUGGAAUCAAACAUUAUAACCAACAUUGGUCUCACAAAGAUCAGAUAUUAUAACAGAACUUCUAAAGUGUCACAUCCUGUUUUAAAAAGAAAUCUACAAUACCAAAUCUGU